UCGUUGGUGGUUCUCCUCCUCGACCAAAUAUCGAAUCGACUGUUGCUCUCCUCCUCGACGACGACGAAUCAAAUCGUCGGUGGCUCUUCUCAUCGACGAGGAAUCAAAUCAUCGGUGGCUUUUGUCGAGGAGGAAGCAUUCGUAUGUUGCUGGUCCUCAAAUCGAAAGAUUAAGACCUCAAAAGAAACAGAGAUGGUGUGAUUGAGGAGCAUGACUUGCAAGUGAAGCGUUUAGAAGACAAGAUAACACAAUUAAUCAGACUUGUGUUGUUGCUUCCUCAGGCAUUGCCUUUAGCGAUGGAUCAGGAGAGAAGAAGAAGGUUCGUCAUCAACAAGGACGAGAAAAGCAAUACAGGUAACACAUUUGUCUUUGGUUAGGUUUGAAUUCCGGUAAUAAAUGA